GUUUUGCGUUAGGGAUUGCAGCGAUAUCCUUUUUACUUUUUCAGUAAAAAGAUAUAGCGGAAAGCCCGACCUUUG
rnacentral:sRNA from 1 species